rnacentral:rRNA from 1 species
UACAGAGGUGGCAAGCGUUGUUCGGAAUUACUGGGCGUAAAGGGCGCGUAGGCGGCCGCCUAAGUCAGACGUGAAAUCCCUCGGCUCAACCGGGGAACUGCGUCUGAUACUGGGUGGCUUGAAUCCGGGAGAGGGAUGCGGAAUUCCAGGUGUAGCGGUGAAAUGCGUAGAUAUCUGGAGGAACACCGGUGGCGAAGGCGGCAUCCUGGACCGGCAUUGACGUUGAGGCGCGAAAGCCAGGGGAGCAAACGGG